rnacentral:rRNA from 1 species
CCUACGGGUGGCUGCAGUGGGGAAUAUUGCACAAUGGGCGCAAGCCUGAUGCAGCCAUGCCGCGUGUGUGAAGAAGGCCUUCGGGUUGUAAAGCACUUUCAGCGGGGAGGAAGGCGGUGAGGUUAAUAACCUCAUCGAUUGACAUUACCCGCAGAAGAAGCACCGGCUAACUCCGUGCCAGCAGCCGCGGUAAUACGGAGGGUGCAAGCGUUAAUCGGAAUUACUGGGCGUAAAGCGCACGCAGGCGGUCUGUCAAGUCGGAUGUGAAAUCCCCGGGCUCAACCUGGGAACUGCAUUCGAAACUGGCAGGCUAGAGUCUUGUAGAGGGGGGUAGAAUUCCAGGUGUAGCGGUGAAAUGCGUAGAGAUCUGGAGGAAUACCGGUGGCGAAGGCGGCCCCCUGGACAAAGACUGACGCUCAGGUGCGAAAGCGUGGGGAGCAAACAGGAUUAGAUACCCUUGUAGUC